rnacentral:rRNA from 1 species
GAUGAACGCUGGCGGCGUGCCUAAUACAUGCAAGUCGAGCGAACAGACGAGGAGCUUGCUCCUCUGACGUUAGCGGCGGACGGGCGAGUAACACGUGGAUAACCUACCUAUAAGACUGGGAUAACUUCGGGAAACCGGAGCUAAUACCGGAUAAUAUAUUGAACCGCAUGGUUCAAUAGUGAAAGACGGUUUUGCUGUCACUUAUAGAUGGAUCCGCGCCGCAUUAGCUAGUUGGUAAGGUAACGGCUUACCAAGGCGACGAUGCGUAGCCGACCUGAGAGGGUGAUCGGCCACACUGGACCUGAGACACGGUCCAGACUCCUACGGGAGGCAGCAGUAGGGAAUCUUCCGCAAUGGGCGAAAGCCUGACGGAGCAACGCCGCGUGAGUGAUGAAGGUCUUCGGAUCGUAAAACUCUGUUAUUAGGGAAGAACAAAUGUGUAAGUAACUAUGCACGUCUUGACGGUACCUAAUCAGAAAGCCACGGCUAACUACGUG